rnacentral:tRNA from 1 species
UCUAAAAUGGCAGAUAAGUGUAUUGGAAUUAAAUCCCAAUUAUAAAGUUAAACCUUUUUUUAGAA